AUUGAACGCUGGCGGCAUGCCUUACACAUGCAAGUCGAACGGUAACGCGGGGCAACCUGGCGACGAGUGGCGAACGGGUGAGUAAUAUAUCGGAACGUGCCCAGUAGUGGGGGAUAGCCCGGCGAAAGCCGGAUUAAUACCGCAUGAGACCUGAGGGUGAAAGCGGGGGAUCGCAAGACCUCGCGCUAUUGGAGCGGCCGAUAUCAGAUUAGGUAGUUGGUGGGGUAAAGGCCUACCAAGCCGACGAUCUGUAGCUGGUCUGAGAGGACGACCAGCCACACUGGGACUGAGACACGGCCCAGACUCCUACGGGAGGCAGCAGUGGGGAAUUUUGGACAAUGGGCGCAAGCCUGAUCCAGCCAUGCCGCGUGCGGGAAGAAGGCCUUCGGUUGUAAACCGCUUUUGUCAGGGAAGAAAUCUUCUGGGUUAAUACCUCGGGAGGAUGACGGUACCUGAAGAAUAAGCACCGGCUAACUACGUGCCAGCAGCCGCGGUAAGAGUAC
rnacentral:rRNA from 1 species